rnacentral:lncRNA from 1 species
GAGAUGAUGCACAGUCCUGCUGGGGGGAGCACUGGAGCAAGCCCACGAGCUGGUGAUGGGCAGGGAAGGAGCAGACGCCAACAGGAUCAAAGUCCUGAGCCAGAAAGAGGACUUUGGUUUUUACUGCUUGGGUGCAGCACGGCCCCCACUGAUGCCGUUCUCUCCUCCCAGCGCUCGGAGGUGGUGAAAUCAUCCCUGACUGUUCAGAAGAGCGUCUUGGUGUCCUCGGAGGGGGUGGCCAGCAAGCGCAACAUCUUUGAGGGAGGUUCUCCCAGCAAGGCUGAGCCGCUGGCUGCCAGGAAGGACAACCUGAAGAUCCCGGGAUCAGUGACAUCCCGCAUUAAUCUGUGGAUCAGCCGAGCUCAGGAGCCUGCCAAGGAGGAAAAGAGCAAGGACAUCAGGAGAAUAAACAGCCUACCAAAACGUGAUGUGUGGGUAAAGCAACCUGGAGACACCCCUGGAGACACCAAGGUAGACAUGGAGCUGCUCUGAAAAGUGGUGCACUCUCUGAGGGGGACGAGCUAGGGGCAGAGCUGGGACCUCCCUGCUGGUGGCGGUCAACCAGGCUAUGGGGUGAGAAGGGUCAUGUGGGCCAUUCAGGACUCCCCAUUGGGGGACUGAGCAGGAGGUGACAACUGGAGGCAGCUGUAAGGGUGAGAAGGGGUCUGGGUUGGGAGAGGAAGGGAAGGGCCAUAUGGUGGGAUUUAGGGGAUGUCUGUCUGCCCCAUUCCCUGUUUGAGCCAAAGCAGCUGCCUUUUGGGGGGGCUGCAGCCUCAGGCCCAGCCUCACUGUUUCUCACUUUCUUUUCCAGUUGUAAUGGUGUCAGUUGCAAUAAUAUCAGAUGAUCUGGGAAAAACUGUUUGGCUCUGAAGAUCAAAGCCCAGCCCCACCCAACCGUCCAGCAGCCCAUGGCCACAAGAGUCCCCCGGGCCGUGUGUGGGUCCCAGAUCGCCCCUGCUUGUGGGAUGGGAAGGAAGAAGGCUGGAAGAUUAUCCCUGCACCCCGAGUCCUCACUCACUGCCUCUCUGGGAGUGCCCGGGCCUGGAGGCUCCUUGCCAAUGCUGAGGGCAGACUCUUGCUUCGUUUCCCAACAACAUUUUGGUGUUUUGCCCCCAAUCUCUGCCUGUGCCCCAUAACUGCGCUUGGAAAAGGGAUCAACCUAUACGUCUCUCUUGCAGCUGGAUGAUGUCAGUGGGACAAGAAGCUGCCUGCACAAGGAAGUUUCAGCUUCCUGUCCAUGGACCACAUCCAUCCCUGCUGCCCGGCUCAUGUGGGGUGAGGUGGGGCAGGCAGAUGUCACCCCACCUCCCAGGUUGUCACUGCUGGAGGGACCCAACCAAAGGCAAAUGGUGUUUACAGUCACAGGUGCGCCGGUGUAGCUUGGAGAUGUGUCAUGGAAGAUGGGAGGACCUGAUGGCCCUGGUGUUUCCCUCCAGCACGCAGCUGAGCUAGAGCCAGAGACUUGGCCUUCUCCAUGCUGCCCUUAACAUUCCCCACCACCUACAAGCAGUGACCCCUUUCACUUAGUGAUACGGGAAGGGCUGGCCAUGGCCCUAUUUUUGGGGUUGCAUGGAGCUGAGUGCCCUGUGCUGGACCCCCACUGAAAACCCCAUUUCCUUCUCUCUUUUCCUCCCAAGCCCUUUGCCCAUGGCUGCACAGACCCCUGGUCCUGCAUGCCCCGGGCUGCUGAGCCCACCUGGCAGGGAAGCAGGGUGCUCUCUUGAGGCCAGCUUUAGGGAGCCAUGGGCAGCCCAUAAAAUGAUGCUCAAACCCUUGUGCUGGGGCCAUUCAAUGGGCUGGGGCUGUGCCUUGAGCAACCACCGCGGUGUCCAAAUUCGGUGUGCGACUGCUGCUGCCCUGGAUCUGCUCUUGCUUCUUGGGCUUUGGAAAGGACUUGGUUUUCUCUGUGCUUUUUUUUUUUUUUUUUCUAAUAAAAGUUGCUCCUUCUAAGAUGCUCCUGGUCA